rnacentral:tRNA from 1 species
UUUCUAGGGUUCCAGUGGUCAGGACACAGCACUUACACUGCUGAGGACCAGGUUCAAUCCCUGGUUGCAGAA